GAUGAACGCUGGCGGCGUGCCUAAUACAUGCAAGUCGAGCGAACGGACGAGAAGCUUGCUUCUCUGAUGUUAGCGGCGGAAGGGGUAGUAACACGUGGAUAACCUACCUAUCAAACUGGGAUAACUUCGGGAAACCGGAGCUAAUACCGGAUAAUAUUUUGAACCGCAUGGUUCAAAAGUGAAAGACGGUCUUGCUGUCACUCAUAGAUGGAUCCGCGCUGCAUUAGCUAGUUGGUAAGGUAACGGCUUAGCAAGGCAACGAUGCAUAGCCGACCCGAGAGGGUGACCGGCCACACGGGAACUGAGAGGCGGACCGGACCCCUACGGGAAGCAGCAGUAGGGAAUCUUCCGCGAUGGGCGAAGGCAUGGAGGGGCAACUGCGCGUGAGUGAUGAAGGUCUUCGGAUCGUAAAACUCUGUUAAUAGGGAAGAACAUAUGUGUAAGUAACUGUGCAGAUCUUGACGGUACCUAAUCAAAAAGCCACGGCUAACUACGUG
rnacentral:rRNA from 1 species